GGGCUCAAUAGAGGAUUUAUGGUAAUUAUAAGUGUUCGAAUAUCCUGUUUUUUAUUUGCAUCUUCAAAUGAGAAAGAAUGUAAAUCAAGUAACAGAAAUUUUUUUAAUAACUUUAAUUAUGAUUCACACUACUUACAACACUGCUACGUCUACUUACACAAUUUACAACAGUACUACAACUACUAAAGUCCCUUACAUUACUAACAAAACUUGUUAUACAAUUCAUUACUUAUGCACUCAUUACACUACUUACAUGUACACUAAUUACAUUACAAUGCAAUUACAGGUGCUACUUACAAUACUUCAAUUUGCAUAACUUACUCUACAAAACAAUACAAUUACUUAUUUAACAUACGAUACUAAUACUUACACCACUGACAGAAAUGACGUAAAUGUUUUUGAAAACAGUACGGAAGUUCCAUUUUCGAUUCUUGUUGAUGCGAUAAGCCGUUAUCCCUUCAUUUAACUGAUGAGAAUGCAAAAUCAAUGAGUGAGGUUUUGUUACUGUGAUAAUUAUAUAUAACAUGCAUGAUAACGGCACUGCAUACAAGGCUGACAUAUGAAAUGCGACCCCAACUAGAGGACACUAAAGAAUUUGACCUUUGCAUGCUCAGAAUAAAAUAUGAAUUUUGUUCCUUGCAAAAAUGGCAGGCAUGAUAGGCAAUAGCAGACAGCAAAAUUUGUAGUAAACAGACAGUGAUUUAGAUAGUGGAGGAAUCUAACAGAAUCUCCAUUUUUGCCUUUACUCUUUAUAGGAGCAGCCAUUAAGAAGUGAACCGCAGGAUCCCAAAGUUAAGGUCAAGGUCCACGAAAAACAUUCUUGCUGCAGAAACAGUACUAGAAGAACUCCAGCAGAAAGACUUAGAUAUGGUGCCACAGCGAGCUCAUUAGCACAGAAGUAAAGAUAGGCCUAACGUGGGGAUAGUCAGAAGAACAGGGGUGUACAACAGACCCUUCAGAUCUAGUGGGCGUUCCUAGUCAGCCAUAAUAUUGACAUCAUAGUUCAUGUAUAAUAGAGAGAAAAUUGACCCUUAUGGUUAUUUUCGUUAGGGUUUCGAUGCAGUAGUUUUCAGUAGGUCAGAACCACCUAGGAAAUCGGGCUUUUUAAUCCUACUUUUCUCCAAAAAGUUUUAACUAGGGCAGAUUGAGUAUAUCUAAAUAUUAUUGCUAUUUGAGUAUCAAUUCAAUAGCAGAACUAGUUAGUUAGGGUAUAAUUUUUUUUUUAACUCAAGUGAAUAGUUUUUGAGUUAUUUUUUGUAAA